rnacentral:rRNA from 1 species
GACGUAGGAUGCAAGCGUUGUCCGGAAUUAUUGGGCGUAAAGAGUUCGUAGGCGGUUACUUAAGUCUGGUGUUAAAGACGGGAGCUCAACUCCCGCAUGGCAUUGGAAACUGGGUAGCUAGAGUGCGGUAGAGGUCUCGGGAAUUCCAGGUGUAGCGGUGAAAUGCGUAGAUAUCUGGAGGAACACCGGUGGCGAAAGCGCGAGACUGGGCCGUAACUGACGCUGAGGAACGAAAGCCAGGGGAGCGAAAGGG